UGGGAAACAGCAAGCCUUCCCGGCAGCUCGGCUCUAGGUCAGCCUGCUUUCAGCACCUGCAAUGCAGACCCAGGUUCUCCAGAGAGCCACCGGGUCUUCCCACAGUCCAGAAGUCGCUUGUCGUAAGGCGCAGGCACCAGUCUCCUGGCCUGGUGGUGUUGGGCUGGGCUAGGAUUCCUCUGGGCUCCUGAUCCUAAUUCUAUUUCGGGCACAAACUGGAAGGCUGAUGAGGAGCCACCAUGCUGCUGUAAUCCGCUCGAGGCUUCCUUGUGCUGACCUCUGCUCACCGGAGCACUCCCUAAAGCCUGUGGUGAGUGCGGAAUCUCAACAGCGCUCCAUUACCUCCCGACCGACCGCUGCUGGCAGGACUUCAGCUUGGCCCGCUCAUGCCACUUUGGGGAAGCGAAGACAGGAACUCACACCUCCAUGCCUGCACGUGCAGGUAUCUGCCAGCCAUAGUGCAAACUCCCCGUGAAGCAUGCAUUGACACAUUAAAAAGGAAUGCAGAGCUGUGUUUUGGACAUGUGUUAUUUGGCGUGCUCCAUUAGCUGGAAGGAUCCUUAAGCCACAAGUCCUUUCCGGUGCAGAAAUCCUCAUGAUUUGGGCAACUCCUAGAAAACAAGGGUGUGUCCACUCAUGCUCAAGGGUUUUUAGAGAGUGAAGCACUCAAGCACGGGUGACCCCACGAGCUUCGAGGACUGAACACGACAUAGCAGGCAAGUACAUCCAUCUUCUGCUGUCCUCUCUGUUUUUACAAGGUGUGGUGAAAAGUACAGUGAAUGUUUGAACUUUUGAAAAAUGAUCACAGUAAAAGAUGCAUGGCCACAAAUCCCCAUCAAAACAUUCAGAUGCUCCACUGCCCUGUGAACACAUUUAUUCCAUGGUUCUUACCACUUUCCACAGCAGUUCCGAAAGCCCUAUUUUCCAAGUGUGUUUAUUCAGGGUAAUCAAAAUACACAGUGAAUACUUAAGUUUUUAGAAAACUUAAGCUCAGAAACACACGGCGCUGUGUCCUCCUCCACCCGAGUCACCGCAGCUGGCACCGUGCGACUCCCGGCUCCUCCCCAAGGUCAGGAUGACUGGAAAGGUCACUGUUUUGAGUCCACUCGGGACAUCCAGGCAGCCGGGACGGUGCAGCUAAAGGCCCUCAGGAAAGAGGACUGCAGAGCUGCUGCGGACAGCAGUCAGGACGGCGGGAGGAGGGUGUGCACAGCCGGGGAGGUUUUGAGGGAAUUCAUAGCAAUGUGUCUUCUACAUUUCUUAAAAUUACAGAAUUCACUGUGUUCCUG
rnacentral:lncRNA from 1 species